UACGAAGGGGGGCUAGCGUUGUUCGGAAUUACUGGGCGUAAAGCGCACGUAGGCGGAUACUUAAGUCAGGGGUGAAAUCCCGGGGCUCAACCCCGGGAACUGCCUUUGAUACUGGGGUAUCUCGAGUCCGGAAGAGGUGAGUGGAAUUCCGAGUGUAGAGGUGAAAUUCGUAGAUAUUCGGAGGAACACCAGUGGCGAAGGCGGCUCACUGGUCCGGUACUGACGCUGAGGUGCGAAAGCGUGGGGAGCAAACAGG
rnacentral:rRNA from 1 species